GCACGUAAAACUAACCUCAAUCUCGAUCUGUUUCAUCUCAGCCUCCAGCCCCGAGAGGAGCCGCCGCCGCCGCCGAGAGGAGACGCCCCAGCCCCGAGAGGAGCCACCGCCGCCGAGAGGAGACGCCCCAGCCCCGAGAGGAUCCGCCGCCGCCGCCGGGGAACGAGGUCGCCGCCGCCUUCCUCGCCCGCGGCCAUGAUGACCGAUCUGGCGUGGGCGCCGCAGAUCACCCUCUGGUCCAUGGCCUCGACCAGUUUGCUAUGAUCUGGCGACGGGGAUGCAAGGAGAAGCUGCUGCGGUUUCAAGGGGCCGUGAGGAUGCCCACCAUGAAGGCGUGUCUGGGAUGAUGGAGGUGAUAUCCAGGCCCUGGUGAUAUCGGCCAGGUCCCCGUUGCCGUCGACUGGCGGCGGCCACCGUGUCCUCUUCCAUGGCGUCGGCAGGGCCUUCCCCUGCCAAGCGCAGCGGCUCCUUGGCUGGAUCACCGUCGCACACCUCGCCGGCGUGGUCGGCAAGAUCUGCAUCUCGAUCCUCGCCACUCUCCAUCCUCUUGCAGGUAAUAGGCUUUCCGCCCCCUCUUUUAUCUCCCGCGUUCUCGUGUGCACGGAUUGUGAGCGUGAAGGAAUAUUUCUCUUCUAUUUCAUGGUGCUGCUGUGCUCCUUCUGCCUUCACACUGCACAUAUAUAGAUUCUUCAAAGGAAUUGGAUGCUGAUAAUAUCAACUUAGUUCCCUGAAUGUGAUAUAUAUAUUCUUCCCUCGCUUUGAAUUGAUUGACCCAAACAAUAUAUCUCUGGUUGACAGUCAUGGCCUAUUAUUAUUGUUGUUAAUUUACAACACUCUGCGCUGUAUUGUCCAAUCAUGGUCCAAACUUAAACCUUGGCUGUGGAUUCAUUGUAUGUACCAUAUGCUGUUCAUAGCUACAAAAUUGCAAUCUCUUGAAAAUGUUCUUGAAUACAGUAAUUUUUUUGUCACAUAACCCAUAUGCUGAUGAUAAAGUUUGUUGUAUGAGCUUGUGGCAUACUGAUCUGACAGGUGGCAGGUAUGCAUUCAGAUGUUGCAGCUCUAAGGAAGGGUAGUAUAUGGCACAUGGCUUCGUGGGUUGUUCGACAAGAAGUGUUUUGGGCAUAUUCGAAAGGCAAUCUUGUCAAAAUUGUACAUCGAUUUUCUUAUUCCGCCAUCAGCUUCUAUUGAUAUGAGCGAUACAAAAAGUUCAGCACUGAAUUUUAGUAUGUUAACUUGCAAGAUUUCUCGUGACUAUGUUUUUUUGUGCAAGGUUUAUAAAUUUCAAAAUAUAGUUGCAGCUUCACGGAAUGGACGGCCCAAAUUAUGUUAGUGUCUAUAUGUUUACUUGGUGGUGGUCUAGCGUGAGUGACACCUGCAUCUGUAACUUACCCAUUGGAUGUUGUUCGAAAUCACCUGACAACACAGAAAACCACUAGGAUUACAAGGUAAUCUUUCACACGUUGUCUACAAUUUGUAGAGAAGAGAGUGGUAGAGGAUUGUAUAAAGGCCUUUGGUCCACCUUAUUGGGAGUUGGACCUGAUAUAUCAAUCAACGUUUAUGUAUAUGAAUCCCUGAGGUCUCAUUGGCAAAUGGAAAGUUGAAUGUCAAACUGUGCGACCAAUGAUUUGCUAUGGUUAAUUCCAGUUGGGUGUGUUAACCUACAGUAAUCAAUCAAGUCAACAAAUAUAACAAUGAUACUUUGUCUUCUGAUUUUUGGUGGUGAUUUUUUUUUGUGACUGAACUAACAGGAGCUGAAGCAUGUGUUCUUAUUUUUUUAUAUGACUAGAUGCAUAUGAACUGAAGCUCCAUAAUUUUCUUUUCAAGUCGACAUUGGUGGCAACCAAUACAAUUAGCGUUAUUUACAACCAAUGAAGUCUUAUAAUUUUCUUUCUUAGAAAUAUACAGUGACACUGACUAUCAUUUAGUAGCUCUACAGGCACUAGCCAAAAACAAUAAAGUUUAUUUAUUUAACCACCAAAUAGAACAAUAGGUUAUUCUGCAUUAUGGGUACACAAAUCACAACACUAUAUUUCAGCUGUAGAAAUCUGUGUGGAUGCCUGCUGAUAUUUUAAGCCUACAUAUUGCCGAUUUGGUUUGAGGAAUGCUUGAAGCAUAAUUUACUCCCUAAUGUGCAAAUAGCAGUAUCAUUUUUUGUCAAGAAACUGAGAAGACGGAAGAGAGUUGGUGUUGUCAGUGUGGUGAGCCUAUGCGGCAACCACAAGGCUGAAGUCUGCUUUGAUCAUUGUUCAAGAUUUGAGCCUUGGCUCCGGUUUUGAUAGCUCUAUAUCAACUUUCAGCGAGUUUUUGUUCUCGGACUUGGGAUCCACAGUCCAAAGUUGAUUGGUGGAUCAAGUGAACUUGGUGCAUCUCCAUUCAAGCUGGCGUACAAUUACCAGCCUGCUUGUUUAGCGCAGUCUCCACAAUCAUACAAGCAAAUGAGCAUCUGUGGUGGCUUUGGGCGCGUGUUUGAGGCUGGUCCGGUAUUUAGAUCAGAAAAAUCAAACACUCACAGGCAUCUGUGUGAGUUUAUUGGGUUGGAUGCAGAAAUGGAGAUUAAGAAGCACUACUU